rnacentral:rRNA from 1 species
GUGAGGAAUAUUGCGCAAUGGAGGCAACUCUGACGCAGCCAUGCCGCGUGCAGGAAGAAGGCCCUCAGGGUUGUAAACGGCUUUUGACGGUGAAGAAUCGACAGGAUGCGUCCUGUUUUGACGGUAGACGUUGAAUAAGCACCGGCUAACUCCGUGCCAGCAGCCGCGGUAAUACGGAGGGUGCGAGCGUUGUCCGGAUUUAUUGGGUUUAAAGGGUGCGUAGGCUGGAAGGUCAGUCAGCGGUGAAAAGCUGUCGCUUAACGAUAGUCUUGCCGAAGAUACUUCCUUUCUUGGAUGAGGAUGAGGCCACUGGAACGGAUGGUGUAGCGGUGAAAUGCAUAGAUAUCAGCCAGAACACCGAUUGCGAAGGCAGGUGGCUGUACCUUAAUCGACGCUGAUGCACGAAAGCAUGGGGAGCAAACAGGAUUAGAAACCCGGGUAGUCC